CCUGGCUCAGGACGAACGCUGGCGGCGUGCUUAACACAUGCAAGUCGAACGAUGAAGCCUUUCGGGGUGGAUUAGUGGCGAACGGGUGAGUAACACGUGGGCAAUCUGCCCUUCACUCUGGGACAAGCCCUGGAAACGGGGUCUAAUACCGGAUAAUACUUCUGCCUGCAUGGGUGGGGGUUGAAAGCUCCGGCGGUGAAGGAUGAGCCCGCGGCCUAUCAGCUUGUUGGUGGGGUAAUGGCCUACCAAGGCGACGACGGGUAGCCGGCCUGAGAGGGCGACCGGCCACACUGGGACUGAGACACGGCCCAGACUCCUACGGGAGGCAGCAGUGGGGAAUAUUGCACAAUGGGCGAAAGCCUGAUGCAGCGACGCCGCGUGAGGGAUGACGGCCUUCGGGUUGUAAACCUCUUUCAGCAGGGAAGAAGCGCAAGUGACGGUACCUGCAGAAGAAGCGCCGGCUAACUACGUGCCAGCAGCCGCGGUAAUACGUAGGGCGCAAGCGUUGUCCGGAAUUAUUGGGCGUAAAGAGCUYGUAGGCGGCUUGUCACGUCGGAUGUGAAAGCCCGGGGCUUAACCCCGGGUCUGCAUUCGAUACGGGCUAGCUAGAGUGUGGUAGGGGAGAUCGGAAUUCCUGGUGUAGCGGUGAAAUGCGCAGAUAUCAGGAGGAACACCGGUGGCGAAGGCGGAUCUCUGGGCCAUUACUGACGCUGAGGAGCGAAAGCGUGGGGAGCGAACAGGAUUAGAUACCCUGGUAGUCCACGCCGUAAACGUUGGGAACUAGGUGUUGGCGACAUUCCACGUCGUCGGUGCCGCAGCUAACGCAUUAAGUCCCCGCC
rnacentral:rRNA from 1 species